UGACCCGCUUCCUCCUCCCCUUGCCAUUACUUCAGCUUGGGUGUCGGCAUUGGAAUCGGCCUCACUCCGCGCUGCUACCCUUUUGCCUCCUCUGGGAUCGCGAUUCGAGAGGGUGAGCGCUCGCCUUAAAUCGGAAGCGAUUGGGAAUCCAGCGGAUGACGUAACAGUUGCUCGCAAUUGUAGUUGUCUGGCAGAUCUCAGAGCUUGUGUCUGGGUCUGAUCAGUUGUAUUGCAGGGCGUGCUUCUGUUGCCUCGCUUGUCUACUUUCUGUUCUUGUCUUCUGUGCUUCGUCGCCCCCGGGAUUUCGCAGGCUUAUUUGUUUCAAUGGCGGUCGCCACGGAGUCUUUCUUCGUCGCAUUCUUGGUUGUUGCCAUGGCGGCUGUCGCCGUCCACGGCCAUGAGGGUCAUGAUCACAGUCCCGCCGCAUCUCCCGAGCCCGCUAGUUCUGCUGCUUCGAGCUUGGUAGUGUCUUUGGUGGCACCCCUUCUAGUUGGCGUCGGCGCUUUCAUCGCCUCUGCUCUCCGCCUGUAAAAGAGUGCGGAAUUUUCCGAUGGGCUUUUUCUAUCGCUUGAGCUGCGUCUUGGAUUUGUGUGGCACAGGUUGAUGAUUCAUAUGUAGGCUGGCAUCUUGGAUGCUUUGUCCAGAAGGUGUCUUCACGACAUAUCUAAUCAUCAAGUAGGUUAGACUAGACACAGCGGGAAUGAAACAGGGGUUAUCGUCACCCCAUUGUCUUGUUGAAGAAUUCUUUUGGAAAGUAUACGUCGGCCAGAGUAAUUUGCUCGUUGGCUUUAUAAUAAUGUGGUCAUUUUGACUCUCCUUAAAUAAAAAUGUUUCGGUAUACCUUGCUCCA